UGGGGUAUAUUGGACAAUGGAGGAAACUCUGAUCCAGCAACUCUGUGUGUGUGAAGAAGGUUUUAGGACUGUAACACACUUUUAGUAGGGAAGAAAAAAAUGACGGUACCUACAGAAGAAGCAACGGCUAAAUACGUGACAGCAGCCGCGGUAAUACGUAGGUCCCGAGCGUUGUCCGGAUUUAUUGGGCGUAAAGUGAGCGCAGGCGGUUAGAAAAGUCUGAAGUGAAAGGCAGUGGCUCAACCAUUGUAGGCUUUUGAAACUGUUUAACUUGAGUGCGGAGGGGGAGAGUGGAAUUCCAUGUGUAGCGGUGAGAUACGUAGAUAUAUGGAGGAACACCGGUGGCGGAGGCGGCUCUCUAGUCUGUAACUGACGCUGAGGCUCGAAAGCGUGGGGAGCGAACAGA
rnacentral:rRNA from 1 species